AGCAGCCGCGGUAAUUCCAGCUCCAAUAGCGUAUAUUAAAGUUGUUGCAGUUAAAAAGCUCGUAGUUGAAUUUCGGAAUCAAUUUAUUGGUCGUGCAAUAGUACGUACUGGUUUUAUUGGUUUCUCCCUUCUGAUGAACCAUGAUGUCAUUAAUUUGGUGUUAUGGGGAAUCAGGACUGUUACUUUGAAAAAUUAGAGUGUUUAAAGCAGGCUCACGCUUGAAUACAUUAGCAUGGAAUAGUGAAAUAGGACAUUUGAUUCUAUUUUGUUGGUUUCUAGGAUCGACGUAAUGAUUAAUAGGGAUAGUUGGGGGCAUUAGUAUUCAAUUGUCAGAGGUGAAAUUCUUGGAUUUAUUGAAGACUAACUACUGCGAAAGCAUUUGCCAAGGAUGUUUUCAUUAAUCAAGAACGAAAGUUAGGGGAUCGAAGACGAUCAGAUACCGUCGUAGUCUUAACCAUAAACUAUGCCGACUAGGGAUCGGAUGAUGUUAAUUUUUAUGA
rnacentral:rRNA from 1 species